AAACUGAGUUCAAUACUCGAUAGGAAUUUAGCUCUGGAAUGACUAAAUUCCCAAAGCUACGGCGCCUAAGGAUGGGGCUACAUCUCAUCAGCCUGUUGGGGGUGUAACGAACCCUCAAAGCUAUAACGGGUACGGGCCGUGAGAGCGGAAGCCCGGAGAUGGAUUCUGAGACAUGAAUCCAGGUCCUACGGGACGCAGCAGGCGCGAAACCUUCGCAAUGUGCUAGCGCACGACGAGGGGAUCCGAAGUGUUGCAGUUCUACUGCAACUUUUGUCAAGUCCAAACAGCUUGACGAAUGAGGGGUGGGUAAGACGGGUGCCAGCCGCCGCGGUAAUACCCGCGCCCCAAGUGGUAUCCAGUAUUAUUGGGCCUAAAACGUCCAUAGCCGGCUUAGCAAGUCUUCGGUGAAAUUCACUAGUAGACUAGUGAGCUUGUCGGAGAUACUGCUAGGCUUGGGAUCGGGAGAGGGUAGAGGUACUCCUAGGGGAGGGGUAAAAUCCUAUAAUCCUAGGGGACCACCUGUGGCGAAGGCGUCUACCUAGAACGAAUCCGACGGUGAGGAACGAAAGCUAGGGGAGCGAUCGGGAUUAGAUACCCCGGUAGUCCUAGCCGUAAACGA
rnacentral:rRNA from 1 species